rnacentral:rRNA from 1 species
GAUGAACGCUGGCGGCGUGCCUAAUACAUGCAAGUCGAGCGAACGGACGAGAAGCUUGCUUCUCUGAUGUUAGCGGCGGACGGGUGAGUAACACGUGGAUAACCUACCUAUAAGACUGGGAUAACUUCGGGAAACCGGAGCUAAUACCGGAUAAUAUUUUGAACCGCAUGGUUCAAAAGUGAAAGACGGUCUUGCUGUCACUUAUAGAUGGAUCCGCGCUGCAUUAGCUAGUUGGUAAGGUAACGGCUUACCAAGGCAACGAUGCAUAGCCGACCUGAGAGGGUGAUCGGCCACACUGGAACUGAGACACGGUCCAGACUCCUACGGGAGGCAGCAGUAGGGAAUCUUCCGCAAUGGGCGAAAGCCUGACGGAGCAACGCCGCGUGAGUGAUGAAGGUCUUCGGAUCGUAAAACUCUGUUAUUAGGGAAGAACAUAUGUGUAAGUAACUGUGCACAUCUUGACGGUACCUAAUCAGAAAGCCACGGCUAACUACGUGCCAGCAGCCGCGGUAAUACGUAGGUGGCAAGCGUUAUCCGGAAUUAUUGGGCGUAAAGCGCGCGUAGGCGGUUUUUUAAGUCUGAUGUGAAAGCCCACGGCUCAACCGUGGAGGGUCAUUGGAAACUGGAAAACUUGAGUGCAGAAGAGGAAAGUGGAAUUCCAUGUGUAGCGGUGAAAUGCGCAGAGAUAUGGAGGAACACCAGUGGCGAAGGCGACUUUCUGGUCUGUAACUGACGCUGAUGUGCGAAAGCGUGGGGAUUAAACAGGAUUAGAUACCCUGGUAGUCCACGCCGUAAACGAUGAGUGCUAAGUGUUAGGGGGUUUCCGCCCCUUAGUGCUGCAGCUAACGCAUUAAGCACUCCGCCUGGGGAGUACGACCGCAAGGUUGAAACUCAAAGGAAUUGACGGGGACCCGCACAAGCGGUGGAGCAUGUGGUUUAAUUCGAAGCAACGCGAAGAACCUUACCAAAUCUUGACAUCCUUUGACAACUCUAGAGAUAGAGCCUUCCCCUUCGGGGGACAAAGUGACAGGUGGUGCAUGGUUGUCGUCAGCUCGUGUCGUGAGAUGUUGGGUUAAGUCCCGCAACGAGCGCAACCCUUAAGCUUAGUUGCCAUCAUUAAGUUGGGCACUCUAAGUUGACUGCCGGUGACAAACCGGAGGAAGGUGGGGAUGACGUCAAAUCAUCAUGCCCCUUAUGAUUUGGGCUACACACGUGCUACAAUGGACAAUACAAAGGGCAGCGAAACCGCGAGGUCAAGCAAAUCCCAUAAAGUUGUUCUCAGUUCGGAUUGUAGUCUGCAACUCGACUACAUGAAGCUGGAAUCGCUAGUAAUCGUAAAUCGGCAUGCUACGGUGAAUACGUUCCCGGG